UUAUGGCCACACCACGUUGAAACACUGGUUCCAAAACAUUCACCAAAAUUAAGCAACAUCGAGCCUGAUCAGUACCUAGAUGGGUGACCGUUUGGGAAUACCAGUUGUUGUAA